rnacentral:misc_RNA from 1 species
CAGAGUUGAAAAACUCCCUAAACCAUUGUGAACGUUACCUUAUACCGUUGCUUCGGCGGGCGGCCCGGGUCCUGCCCGGCGCCCCUCGGCCCCCUGCGGGCGCCCGCCGGAGGUAAACCAAACCAUUGAAUUGUAUGGCCUCUCUGAGUCUUCUGUACUGAAUAAGUCA